rnacentral:rRNA from 1 species
UGCAGUCGAACGAUGAACCACUUCGGUGGGGAUUAGUGGCGAACGGGUGAGUAACACGUGGGCAAUCUGCCCUGCACUCUGGGACAAGCCCUGGAAACGGGGUCUAAUACCGGAUACUGAUUGUCUUGGGCAUCCUUGAUGAUCGAAAGCUCCGGCGGUGCAGGAUGAGCCCGCGGCCUAUCAGCUUGUUGGUGAGGUAACGGCUCACCAAGGCGACGACGGGUAGCCGGCCUGAGAGGGCGACCGGCCACACUGGGACUGAGACACGGCCCAGACUCCUACGGGAGGCAGCAGUGGGGAAUAUUGCACAAUGGGCGCAAGCCUGAUGCAGCGACGCCGCGUGAGGGAUGACGGCCUUCGGGUUGUAAACCUCUUUCAGCAGGGAAGAAGCGAAAGUGACGGUACCUGCAGAAGAAGCGCCGGCUAACUACGUGCCAGCAGCCGCGGUAAUACGUAGGGCGCAAGCGUUGUCCGGAAUUAUUGGGCGUAAAGAGCUCGUAGGCGGCUUGUCGCGUCGGUUGUGAAAGCCCGGGGCUUAACCCCGGGUCUGCAGUCGAUACGGGCAGGCUAGAGUUCGGUAGGGGAGAUCGGAAUUCCUGGUGUAGCGGUGAAAUGCGCAGAUAUCAGGA